rnacentral:rRNA from 1 species
UACGAAGGGGGCUAGCGUUGCUCGGAAUCACUGGGCGUAAAGGGCGCGUAGGCGGCCGAUUAAGUCGGGGGUGAAAGCCUGUGGCUCAACCACAGAAUUGCCUUCGAUACUGGUUGGCUUGAGACCGGAAGAGGACAGCGGAACUGCGAGUGUAGAGGUGAAAUUCGUAGAUAUUCGCAAGAACACCAGUGGCGAAGGCGGCUCACUGGCCCGAUACUGACGCUGAGGUGCGAAAGCGUGGGGAGCAAACAGG